rnacentral:rRNA from 1 species
UACAGAGGGGGCAAGCGUUGUUCGGAAUUACUGGGCGUAAAGGGCGCGUAGGCGGCCUUCUAAGUCGAACGUGAAAUCCCUGGGCUCAACCCAGGAACUGCGUCCGAUACUGGAAGGCUUGAAUCCGGGAGAGGGAUGCGGAAUUCCAGGUGUAGCGGUGAAAUGCGUAGAUAUCGGGAGGAACACCAGUGGCGAAGGCGACUACCUGGCCUGUUUCUUGACGCUGAGGCGCGAAAGCUAGGGGAGCAAACGGG